GAGAAAUGAAUGUUCUUUGCUGGCAAUCUGACAUACAGGAGAAAUUAACAGAGUUAAUGGCUAUUCUGGCAUCUGCUCCCAAGCCACUGAGACCACAGAAUUAGAGGAUGGGAAGGGACCUUGGAGAUCUUGUUAACUGUGUCCUGGACCCUCAUUGCAAGGAAUCAGAUUCAACUGGCCUAGGGAGGGGUCUAAGUAUCAACAUUUUUAGACGUCCCCUAGGUGAUUCUAACGUAGGGGCUGGGCUCUAAAUGCAGAAACAUCCCUUUUGUUUUAUAGGUGAAGAGACAGGGGCUAACUGAGGUCAGUGACUCAUCUUACAGCUUGUUAGAGGCAGAGUGAAGCCCGGAAUCCGGAUAUUCUUCUCUACCCAGCUCACACAGAGGACAUUUCCAUAAUACCUUCAUCAUGGGUCAUUCUCUUGCUUAACCCCAGAGUUGCUCUCAUUUUGAAUUGAGACACAUUCCUCCGCUUAACCUAGCUUAGACACAAACUUCAACAAACUUCUCUGAACCCUUACUUGCCAAGAAAAUCUUCAGAUCAGUGAAAACAUUGAAGUGAUUCUGGUCCGGGACCAUGGCUGUAAAUGCCUCCCAUUUUAGACCCAACUGGGACCUGACACCCUAUACUGAAUAUAGAGUUUAAUUAGAGGGUACAGGGAGGGGCCCCAAAGAAGCAAACACUUGAGUCUGAUGAGUCUCAUUGAUGCACAGCCUAAGCCAGAGUGACCCAUUAACAGGGUCUCACACUCAGAUAUAUCUGAGUUCAGAGCAGGUAAUGCAUGUGAGUAGUGUGGGUUAGGUGGGGGCUCUGGCCCAAGCUCCUCCUAGCUAUGCGGGGAGGAUGCAAUGCAAGUCCAGUCCUUCCAAUUUCUCAAAGAAGUCGCAAAUUUGGGUUUUUGUUUGUUUUGGUUUUUGUGAAAAACCCUGUUUUGUGAAUGUUGGCAACUAGUUUGAUUUUUAGAAAAACACUGUAAGAGUCAAAUAAAACCCACUCGUGAGCUAUAUUCUGCUUGUGAGGCUUCAGAAUACAUCUUUUAGAUAAGUCCAAGACUUUUUUUUUUUUCAGAUGGUCUCGCUCUGUUGCCCAGGCUGAAGGGCAGUGACACACAGAUCACUAUAGCCUUGACCUCCUGGGCUCAAGCCAUCCUCCCAUUUCAGCCUCCCGAGUAGCUGGGAUUACAGACAUACACCACCAAGGAAUAUGACUUCAUCAUAUUCAAUAUCGAGUUUUACUGGUUUCUAAAAUGUUGGCCUAAUACCAUCAUGUAGGUUGAGCAUCCCUAAUCCAAAAAUUCAAAAUCCGAAACUUUUUUUUUUUUUCUUUUUUU
rnacentral:lncRNA from 10 species